UAAAACGUAGGAGGCAAGCGUUAUCCGGAUUUACUGGGCGUAAAGCGCGUGCAGGCGGUUCGGCAAGUUGGAUGUGAAAGCUCCUGGCUUAACUAGGAGAGGUCGUUCAAUACUACCGGACUAGAGGGCAUCAGAGGAAGGUGGAAUUCCCGGUGUAGUGGUGAAAUGCGUAGAUAUCGGGAGGAACACCAGUGGCGAAGGCGGCCUUCUGGGAUGUUCCUGACGCUCAGACGCGAAGGCUAGGGUAGCAAACGGGAUUAGAGACCCCGGUAGUCCUAGCAGUAAACGAUGUAGACUUGGCGUCGGUGGGUCGAAAACCAUCAGUGUCGAAGCUAACGCGAUAAGUCUACCGCCUGGGGACUACGGCCGCAAGGUUA
rnacentral:rRNA from 1 species